UAAUGAGGAAAGCAUCGUAAUGUGCAAUUGAAUUGGGUCUCUAGGCCUACCCUCUCUGAUGCCAUUUGGCUUUGAUUUAGGGGCAUAGUUCCGUAGCAAAAUA